CAGUAGCCGCGGUAACACGAAGGGGGCUAGCGUUGUUCGGAAUUACUGGGCGUAAAGCGCACGUAGGCGGGUAUUUAAGUCAGGGGUGAAAUCCCGCAGCUCAACUGCGGAACUGCCUUUGAUACUGGGUAUCUUGAGUAUGGAAGAGGUUAGUGGAAUUGCGAGUGUAGAGGUGAAAUUCGUAGAUAUUCGCAGGAACACCAGUGGCGAAGGCGGCUAACUGGUCCAUAACUGACGCUGAGGUGCGAAAGCGUGGGGAGCAAACAGGAUUAGAUACCCCCGUAGUCCCUGUCUCUUAUAC
rnacentral:rRNA from 1 species